UCAUGUGAGCCACUUCCCUCCACCACACUCUUCCGCCAUGAUGUUCUGCCUGACCCAGAGCUCCAAUGAACGGAGCCUGCUGACUAUGGAUCAAGACCUCUGAAACUCCUGGAUGAAAACUCACCUGAGAAUUUCAAGAUGGCUGCCUACAGGGACUGUUUCAGGCCAUGAAAGAGAGAAACCAAAUGAUCAGUGCAACCACAAAACCAUGACCCUUUGAUGCACUGAGGUCCAGCCAAAUCAGUUUUCAGGGGAAAAAAUAAACCCAAACCACCAAACCCACUAUUUUAUACAGUGCUUUUAACUGUGGUUUAUCAUUAGAGAUCAAAUUAUUUUGGAACCCUUAGCUUACAUUGCCAAAUUUAGUCAAAGCACUUGCAAUAAACUUUUCUCUGAUUCA